rnacentral:rRNA from 1 species
GACGGAGGAUGCAAGCGUUAUCCGGAAUUAUUGGGCGUAAAGCGUCCGCAGGUGGACAUACAAGUCUGCUGUCAAAGUGCAGAGCUUAACUCUGUAAAGGCGGUGGAAACCGUAGGUCUUGAGUAUGGUAGGGGUAGAGGGAAUUCCCGGUGUAGCGGUGAAAUGCGUAGAUAUCGGGAAGAACACCAGUGGCGAAAGCGCUCUACUGGGCCAUAACUGACACUGAGGAGCGAAAGCAUGGGGAGCGAACAGG